rnacentral:rRNA from 1 species
AUUGAACGCUGGCGGCAGGCUUAACACAUGCAAGUCGAGCGGAGCGAGGGUGCUUGCACCUUAGCUUAGCGGCGGACGAGUGAGUAAUGCUUAGGAAUCUGCCUAUUAGUGGGGGACAACAUUCCGGAAGGAAUGCUAAUACCGCAUACGCCCUACGGGGGAAAGCAGGGGAUCUUCGGACCUUGCGCUAAUAGAUGAGCCUAAGUCGGAUUAGCUAGUUGGUGGGGUAAAGGCCUACCAAGGCGACGAUCUGUAGCGGGUCUGAGAGGAUGAUCCGCCACACUGGGACUGAGACACGGCCCAGACUCCUACGGGAGGCAGCAGUGGGGAAUAUUGGACAAUGGGCGGAAGCCUGAUCCAGCCAUGCCGCGUGUGUGAAGAAGGCCUUUUGGUCGUAAAGCACUUUAAGCGAGGAGGAGGCUACUAGUAUUAAUACUACUGGAUAGUGGACGUUACUCGCAGAAUAAGCACCGGCUAACUCUGUGCCAGCAGCCGCCGCAGUAAUAC